CUUUUAUGUUAUUCAAACAAGUUG
rnacentral:piRNA from 1 species